rnacentral:lncRNA from 1 species
GUAAACUCUAGAAUGUAAAUCUAGACAAUAGCAUGUAAGCAAAUUUUGUUAUCUGUUUAAAUUUUGAACACGAUGAUGAAAAUUAGGAUGGAAUUUGCAGCCUUUAAAGGAUAUAGACCAAGUGUCUAUCUUAGGUGUAUUAUAUUAUAGAAUUCAUCAUACAUUGCUCCCCAUCUGAUUUUCUGAGUUAUCUUAGAAAGCUUACUUUUUAGCUACUUGCAGAUGCUCUCCUAAUCAUAGGCUUACCUGAUGGGCCGACUGCACAUUUCAAAUUAUCAAGGCUUGUUUUACGCAAAGAUCUCAAGGUCUAGCCAUUCUUUUACCUUUUUCUUUACCCGUUUAUCUUCAUGUUCAAAGGGGACAUCAUGAAAAUGGAGAAACCAAUGUGGAGUAGAAUUAUUUUUCUCUAUCAACUACUAUCCUUUAAUAAUCUGUUUCUUCUCGUGACGUUGAAUCUAUAUUUGUAUAAAUGAAAUAAGUAGGGCACUGAUCACAAGUGAUGGCUCAAUUCUUUCAUAAGAAGGAAGGAUAAAUCUUUACCUUGCAAAUUCUUCAGUGUUCUAUCAUUAUGGGUGUACCAUUAGUUUUUUAUAUUUCUUAAUCUUGGAUAGUUUCCUAUUAAAUGUGGUUUUAUGUUGCUUUCAGAAUCAUGGAAAUCCAACUAGUCACGAGCCUGAGCUAGUUUUGACCAAUUUUUCAACACGUUUGGG